rnacentral:rRNA from 1 species
UCGGCAAGGAGGAACUCUGACCGAGCAACGCCGCGUGACGAUGAAGUAUUUCGGUAUGUAAAGUUCUUUUAUUGAAGAAGAAAAAAUAGUGGAAAAACUAUCUUGACGUUAUUCAAUGAAUAAGCCCCGGCUAACUAUGUGCCAGCAGCCGCGGUAAGACAUAGGGGGCGAGCGUUAUCCGGAAUUAUUGGGCGUAAAGGGUGCGUAGGCGGUUAGGAAAGUCUAUAAUUUAAUUUCAGUGCUUAACGCUGUCUUGUUAUAGAAACUACCUUGACUAGAGUUAGAUAGAGGCAAGCGGAAUUCCAUGUGUAGCGGUAAAAUGUGUAAAUAUAUGGAGGAACACCAGAAGCGUAGGCGGCUUGCUGGGUCUUGACUGACGCUGAGGCACGAAAGCGUGGGUAGCAAACAGGAUUAGAUACCCUGGUAGUCCACGCCGUAAACGAUGAGUACUAAGUGUCGGGAUAAAACUCGGUACUGAAGUUAACACAUUAAGUACUCCGCCUGAGUAGUACGUACGCAAGUAUGAAACUUAAAGGAAUUGACGGGACUCCGCACAAGCGGUGGAUCAUGUUGUUUAAUUCGAAGAUACACGAAAAAUCUUACCAGGUCUUGACAUGCUCUGCAAAGCUAUAGAAAUAUAGUGGAGGUUAUCAGGGACACAGGUGGUGCAUGGUUGUCGUCAGUUUGUGUCGUGAGAUGUUAGGUUAAGUCCUAAAACGAGCGCAACCCUUGUCGUUAGUUACCAGCACGUAAUGGUGGGCACUUUAACGAGACUGCCAAUUAAACAUUGGAGGAAGGUGAGGAUUACGUCAAAUCAUCAUGCCCCUUAUGAUCUG